UUUCUACAACAUAGUGUUAAUGUACUGGAUCCCAUUAGAACUUCAUAGUUAAGACACUCGAAAUAGAUUAGUACUAGGAUGAGUGACCUCCCAGGAAGUCCUACUAUUUUACAUGC
rnacentral:rRNA from 1 species